GACAGGAGGGUGCAAGCGUUGUUCGGAAUUACUGGGCGUAAAGGGCGCGUAGGCGGUCCGCUAAGUUCGGCGAUGAAACUCCCCUGGCUCAACGUGGGGAACGGCGCUGGAUACUGGUGGUACUCGAGUGACCGGAGAGGAGAGUGGAAUUCCUGGUGUAGCGGUAGAAAUGCGUAGAUAUCAGGAGGAACACCGGUGGCGAAGGCGGCUCUCUGGACGGAUACUGACGCUGAGGCGCGAAAGCGUGGGGAUCAAACAGG
rnacentral:rRNA from 1 species